rnacentral:rRNA from 1 species
UACGGGGAAGACGAGCGUUGUUCGGAAUUACUGGGCGUAAAGGGCGCGUAGGCGGUUUGUUAAGUUGGAUGUGAAAACUUUGGGCUUAACCCAGAGCCUGCAUCCAAAACUAGCAGACUAGAGUUCUGGAGGGGGUAGCGGAAUUCCUGGUGUAGCGGUGAAAUGCGUAGAUAUCAGGAGGAACACCGGUGGCGAAGGCGGCUACCUGGACAGAAACUGACGCUGAGGCGCGAAAGCUAGGGGAGCAAACAGG